rnacentral:rRNA from 1 species
AAAAGAACCCCGGCGAGGGGAGUGAAAAAGAACCUGAAACCGUGUACGUACAAGCAGUGGGAGCACGCUUAGGCGUGUGACUGCGUACCUUUUGUAUAAUGGGUCAGCGACUUAUAUUCUGUAGCAAGGUUAACCGAAUAGGGGAGCCGAAGGGAAACCGAGUCUUAACUGGGCGUUAAGUUGCAGGGUAUAGACCCGAAACCCGGUGAUCUAGCCAUGGGCAGGUUGAAGGUUGGGUAACACUAACUGGAGGACCGAACCGACUAAUGUUGAAAAAUUAGCGGAUGACUUGUGGCUGGGGGUGAAAGGCCAAUCAAACCGGGAGAUAGCUGGUUCUCCCCGAAAGCUAUUUAGGUAGCGCCUCGUGAAUUCAUCUCCGGGGGUAGAGCACUGUUUCGGCAAGGGGGUCAUCCCGACUUACCAACCCGAUGCAAACUGCGAAUACCGGAGAAUGUUAUCACGGGAGACACACGGCGGGUGCUAACGUCCGUCGUGAAGAGGGAAACAACCCAGACCGCCAGCUAAGGUCCCAAAGUCAUGGUUAAGUGGGAAACGAUGUGGGAAGGCCCAGACAGCCAGGAUGUUGGCUUAGAAGCAGCCAUCAUUUAAAGAAAGCGUAAUAGCUCACUGGUCGAGUCGGCCUGCGCGGAAGAUGUAACGGGGCUAAACCAUGCACCGAAGCUGCGGCAGCGACACUAUGUGUUGUUGGGUAGGGGAGCGUUCUGUAAGCCUGCGAAGGUGUGCUGUGAGGCAUGCUGGAGGUAUCAGAAGUGCGAAUGCUGACAUAAGUAACGAUAAAGCGGGUGAAAAGCCCGCUCGCCGGAAGACCAAGGGUUCCUGUCCAACGUUAAUCGGGGCAGGGUGAGUCGACCCCUAAGGCGAGGCCGAAAGGCGUAGUCGAUGGGAAACAGGUUAAUAUUCCUGUACUUGGUGUUACUGCGAAGGGGGGACGGAGAAGGCUAUGUUGGCCGGGCGACGGUUGUCCCGGUUUAAGCGUGUAGGCUGGUUUUCCAGGCAAAUCCGGAAAAUCAAGGCUGAGGCGUGAUGACGAGGCACUACGGUGCUGAAGCAACAAAUGCCCUGCUUCCAGGAAAAGCCUCUAAGCAUCAGGUAACAUCAAAUCGUACCCCAAACCGACACAGGUGGUCAGGUAGAGAAUACCAAGGCGCUUGAGAGAACUCGGGUGAAGGAACUAGGCAAAAUGGUGCCGUAACUUCGGGAGAAGGCACGCUGAUAUGUAGGUGAAGCGACUUGCUCGUGGAGCUGAAAUCAGUCGAAGAUACCAGCUGGCUGCAACUGUUUAUUAAAAACACAGCACUGUGCAAACACGAAAGUGGACGUAUACGGUGUGACGCCUGCCCGGUGC